rnacentral:sRNA from 1 species
GUCCUCACGCCCCUCUUCAAGGUGGGCAAGUUCCUGAGCGCUGAGGAGUAUCAGCAGAAGAUUAUCCCUGUGGUGGUCAAGAUGUUCUCAUCCACUGACCGGGCCAUGCGCAUCCGCCUCCUGCAGCAGAUGGAGCAGUUCAUCCAGUACCUUGACGAGCCAACGGUCAACACCCAGAUCUUCCCCCACGUCGUACAUGGCUUCCUGGACACCAACCCCGCCAUCCGGGAGCAGACGGUCAAGGUGGGUGUGGCCAGGCCCAGAGUGGCUACCCCUGGUUUUCCAAGGCUUGGAGGGGCUCACCCUAGACACAGAGGUCUUGGCUUUGGCCCAUGGGUCCAAGCAGGCACUGUCCUUGCUGUGUGGGUUCAGGCCGUGGGUGCAGCUUGGCAGCUGGCGGGGGAGCACGUCCUCCAUUCAGCAGACAACAAGCAUCUGCCUGUUCCUGGCCCAAGCCCCAUGCUGGGAGGCAGCGUGCAUGAGGUGCCCAGCCCCCUGCACUCAUGGAGCUUCCUUUCCAGGGCACAGAGAGUGGGCUUGCCAGACAAUACAACAGAAUUAGAAAAUAUGUAUUGUUGGCUGAUCACGGUGGCUCAUGCCCGUAA